AGCAAGGAAUUUUGGGCAAUGAGCGAAAGCUUGACCCAGCGACACCGCGUGAGGGACGAAGGCCUUCGGGUCGUAAACCUCUUUUCUUGGGGAAGAAUUCUGACGGUACCCAAGGAAUAAGCCUCGGCCAACUACGUGCCAGCAGCCGCGGUAAUACGUAGGAGGCGAACGUUAUUCGGAUUUACUGGGCGUAAAGGGAGCGUAGGCGGUUCUUCAAGUCAGGUGUGAAAUCUUCUGACUCAAUCAGAAGGCGCCAUCUGAUACUGAUGGACUUGAGAGCAACAGAGGGAAAUGGAAUCCCCAGUGUAGCGGUGGAAUGCGUAGAUAUUGGGGAGAACACCAGUGGCGAAGGCGAUUUCCCAGGUUGUUUCUGACGCUGAGGCUCGAAAGCGUGGGGAGCGAAGCGGAUUAGAUACCCGCGUAGUCCACGCCGUAAACGGUGGACACUAGAUAUGGGAGGUAUCGACCCUUUCCGUGUCGAAGCUAACGCUUUAAGUGUCCCGCCUGGGGAGUACGGCCGCAAGGCUAAAACUCAAAGGAAUUGACGGUAGACCGCACAAGCAGCGGAGCGUGUGGUUUAAUUCGAUGAUACGCGAAGAACCUUACCAGGGCUUGACAUGUCAGGAGUAGGAAUCCGAAAGGAGGACGACCUGUAUCCAGUCAGGAACUGUCACAGGUGCUGCAUGGCUGUCGUCAGCUCGUGCCGUGAGGUGUUGGGUUAAGUCCCGCAACGAGCGCAACCCUUGUCCUAUGUUAAAUUCUCAUGGGAGACUGCCUUGUACAGCAAGGAGGAAGGGAAGGAUGACGUCAAGUCAGCAUGGCCUUUAUGUCCUGGGCUACACACACGCUACAAUGGGUGAUACAGAGGGUUGCCAAGGAGCGAUCCGGAGCCAAUCCCAGAAAAUCAUCCUCAGUUCGGAUUGCAGGCUGAAAUCGCCUGCAUGAAGUCGGAGUUGCUAGUAACCGCAGGUCAGCUACACUGCGGUGAAUACGUUCUCGGUCUGUGUACACACCGCCCGUCACGCCAUGGGAGUUGGCAACACCCAAAGUCGACAGGUUAACCCCGAUUUAUCGGGGAGGCAGUCGCCUAAGGUGGGGCUGGUGACUGUGACG
rnacentral:rRNA from 1 species